rnacentral:rRNA from 1 species
AGCCAGACUCCUACGGGAGGCAGCAGUGGGGGAUAUUGCACAAUGGGGGGAACCCUGAUGCAGCGACGCCGCGUGAGGGAAGACGGCCUUCGGGUUGUAAACCUCUGUCGCAGGGGACGAAGGAGAUGACGGUACCCUGUGAGGAAGCCACGGCUAACUACGUGCCAGCAGCCGCGGUAAUACGUAGGUGGCGAGCGUUGUCCGGAAUUACUGGGUGUAAAGGGAGCGCAGACGGCAGUGCAAGUCUGGAGUGAAAGCCCGUGGCUUAACUACGGGACUGCUCUGGAAACUGUGCAGCUAGAGUGCAGGAGAGGCAGGCGGAAUUCCUAGUGUAGCGGUGAAAUGCGUAGAUAUUAGGAGGAACACCGGUGGCGAAGGCGGCCUGCUGGACUGUGACUGACGUUGAGGCUCGAAAGCGUGGGGAGCAAACAGGAUUAGAUACCCCUGUA